GAAAGGGCGCGCGUCGCCGGUUGCAACACUUUACACCAAUUACUGUUUGCUAUGUGUGUGGCGCUCGAUAUUUUGUGGUUAGAGUUUCAAAAUUUUUAAGUGACGUAUGGAACUCAUUAAUUGUCUCAUUGACAUGCUCUGACAUUUCAAAGCAAUUCUCUCGUCACUGGAAUUCCACAGAAUUUGCCAACGAAAUAAUGAAAGAGAUCUUCCGGGCAGCCGCCACUUAGUACUACUUAGCGAACGCCGAUUGCCUGCGUGUGUUCCAAGUUCAAGAACAACAACAUUAGGUCGAAAGUGAUCGCACAACACGUCAGUCAAUUUGACAUGUAUACGUCCAACAAGACGCCCCACAGCAGCCACUUGCUCGAUUGUGUUUUUGUUUUGGCCGCCUUUUCCACACAAUUAAAUAUUUUGUUUUCAGAAGUACAUUCGGUAUUUUUUUAUUUCUAUUUGAAUUUUGCUUUUCACUUCGACCAUACACACAUUUAACGUACCGCUCGCUCAAGUUCUGAGCGUUUAUUUUUAUAAGAAAAUAUGAUUGCUAAUUAAAUUAGCACCUUAUUGCCGCAAGGCAGGCGAAAGCAAAAACGAAAAUAAAUAAGAAAAUUUGUAGAA